rnacentral:rRNA from 1 species
AGUGAACGCUGGCGGUAGGCCUAACACAUGCCAGUCGAACGGCAGCACAGUAAGAGCUUGCUCUUACGGGUGGCGAGUGGCGGACGGGUGAGGCAUACAUCGGAAUCUACUUUUUCGUGGGGGAUAACGUAGGGAAACUUACGCUAAUACCGCAUACGACCUACGGGUGAAAGCAGAGGAUCUUCAGACCUUGCGCGAUUGAAUUAGCCGAUGUCGGAUUGGCUAGUUGGCGGGGUAAAGGCCCACCAAGGCGACGAUCCGUAGCUGGGCUGAGAGGAUGAUCAGCAACACUGGAACUGAGACACGGUCCAGACUCCUACGGGAGGCAGCAGCGGGGAAUAUUGGACAAUGGGCGAAAGCCUGAUCCAGCCAUACCGCGUGGGUGAAGAAGGCCUUCGGGUUGUAAAGCCCUUUUGUUGGGAAAGAAAAGCAGCAGGUUAAUACCCCGCUGUUCUGACGGUACCCAAAGAAUAAGCACCGGCUAACUUCGUG